AGAAAAAGAAAGGAAAAGCAUCUCGGUGCCUCAGCUUCCCUGCCCGGCUGUCUAUCACCGUGUUCUCAGGGAAUUAAAAGUCAUUUUAAUAACCUGGACCCAAUAAAAUUUGGACGGUAAUUCUGCAGCAGCUAUAAAAAAAAAUCACAGAAGGCCGUCCAAAGGAUAUGCAAUGAAUUUUUUUUUUUUUUCUAUUACUCACAGGUUGGGAUUCUCUAUGCCAUUAGAAAGUUGACAACUUAAAAUCAUGAGCUAGUAGUUCCCCCAAAGCCAGCGUGGAUGGAGCUCCUGCCUCAAGGGGCCAUAAAACUUCAGGAAACUGCUGAGUCAGGACCCAGCCCUCAGUAUGCAGGGAGUGGGGUGGAGAGAUGGCCUCUCCAGGAGGCCGUUGGGAUCCGGAACACCACUGUCUGGAUCCACGAGAAGUCGGAGCCUGGACAGAGAGAAAGGACGUUGCUGCCUGUUGGGUUUCGCCAUUAGCUGUUUGCAGAUUGAAAGCCCCAGUCUCCAGCCCAAGAAGCCAGUUUUCUACAAUCAUGUGGAUAGAGGUGAAAACAGCGGGUUGAAAAUCACACACUCUUAGCUGACGCCUGGGAUUUGGGCAUCUGUGGGAUUUCUUACCUGUGAUGCCUGGAACCCUCGCCCCUCCUCACGGACCCCCUCACCCCCACUGCCCUCCUCCCCUGGGCUACCGCGCCUUUUUAGGAUCUGGCUACAAAACCUGGUGCUAAAAUAUUGCUCAAUUUUAAUUAUACUUCCAAGCCCCUUGCUGUCAGCUGCCCUUCUGAAAUUGUUUUAAUUGAAGUUCCAUGAAUCCUGGGGAGUUCAGACGGAGUUCAUCUCCAAGCCCAUCCUGAUUUCAUUAAAGAUUUGAUCUUUCUUUUUUUUUCACCAAUAAAACAUUUAUUAUCGUUA